rnacentral:rRNA from 1 species
UACGGAGGGGGCUAGCGUUGUUCGGAAUUACUGGGCGUAAAGCGCACGUAGGCGGCUUUGUAAGUUAGAGGUGAAAGCCCAGGGCUCAACCCUGGAAUUGCCUUUAAGACUGCAUCGCUUGAACAUCGGAGAGGUAAGUGGAAUUCCGAGUGUAGAGGUGAAAUUCGUAGAUAUUCGGAAGAACACCAGUGGCGAAGGCAGCUCGCUGGGACGUGACUGACGCUGAGACGCGAAAGCGUGGGGAGCAAACAGG